UAUGAUCACAAUUAUUCUGCGCGUACGACCCAACGACUCGCUCAAAAAGCAAGGAAAUUUGUUUUCUAUACACCCUAAUCAGGUCCAUACCUCUCAUUAUCCCCCAGCCCAUCCAUUCCAUGGUAUUGAGAAGCAGAUAAUAGUGCCGAUAUGGACUCAUAAGCCGCAUGAGCAUUGGCCUCCAGCUCUGCCUGACUCGCCCGAUAAUCACCCCUAUAAUGAUGAGGCUGCGCAGAAUAAUGAUGAUGAUUGCCAGAAGCAUAUUGCCGGCUUGUGCCUGAUGAGCUUGGAUCUACAGGAGUGUGUAUGGGAGUCGACUUGCUGGUUGUACCAUUCGAAGAGAGAGUUGAUGCAGCGCUGUCUUCGUGAAAAGCUCUGGGAUCGAACGGCCUGAAAUUUGGAUCAUUGGGAUUACCGGGCGGAAGUGGUGGUAAAUCCAGAUUAUGGCACGGAUAACGGAACGGAGUCAAGCCGAAUGGAUAAGGUGGUCGGUUAUUAGUAGACUACAGUCGCAUACCAUCCAACUACAGCCACCGAAGCCAAAGAGUCCAUUCCUGCGGCAGCACUGUGUGAACUCUUUCUCGAGGGGCCAGCUGUAGAAGAGCCUGACCCAUGAAAGGUUUCUUUACGGCCUUGUAUGGCUGCAUGUGGUUUAAAAGGCGAAUCUAUCCUCAGUCGUUUCUGUAAUGACUCAGCGCUGGUUCUCAAGAUAAAGAGGUCAAAAAUUUCCUCACACUGUUCUCAGCAUUAUACACGUCUUCUACGUGUGGCGUUUGUCCGUCUAUACUACUAUCGCCCGUUACACCAUCUUCGCUGCCCAUUGCUCGUCUCGGCCUACCCCUGCCCCUGCGACUCGUGGUCCCAGCAUUACCAAAUUUGCUCCCGCCCUUCGCUUUCCGUUUUCCCGUUGAGGUGCCCGUUAUUGACGAUUUUCGUAAUGAGGGAUCUACGAUCGGCUCGAUCAUGAUGCUCUCUUUCCCCUGUUUUUCUGCAAACAAGUAUCAUGGAUGGCGAGAUGGAGGUGGGGCCCAGCAUAUAUUUCGUUGGCACCCCGUUAUUGGGCGCGGAACCAAAUCCCAAAGGCGGGGGUUGAUAGCCGAGAUCUGUGAGAUCGUUUCGCUUCGUUAUUCGUUUCUUUGUUCUAUUCUUCUUGACUCUAUUUUCCUUUGCAUUGUGAAAAGAACGCAGAACAAGCUGGUAUUAAAUAAUGAGCUAUACAGCUAUGCAUACACAGGCGUCUG
rnacentral:sRNA from 1 species